rnacentral:rRNA from 1 species
UACGUAGGGUGCAAGCGUUAAUCGGAAUACUGGGCGUAAAGCGUGCGCAGGCGGUGAUGUAAGACCGAUGUGAAAUCCCCGGGCUUAACCUGGGAACUGCAUUGGUGACUGCAUUGCUAGAGUAUGGCAGAGGGGGGGUGGAAUUCCACGUGUAGCAGUGAAAUGCGUAGAGAUGUGGAGGAACACCGAUGGCGAAGGCAGCCCCCUGGGCCAAUACUGACGCUCAUGCACGAAAGCGUGGGGAGCAAACAGGAU